CCUACGGGAGGCAGCAGUGGGGAAUAUUGGACAAUGGGGGGAACCCUGAUCCAGCCAUGCCGCGUGUGUGAAGAAGGCCCUCGGGUUGUAAAGCACUUUCAGUGAGGAAGAACGCCUGGUGGUUAAUACCCAUCAGGAAAGACAUCACUCACAGAAGAAGCACCGGCUAACUCCGUGCCAGCAGCCGCGGUAAUACGGAGGGUGCGAGCGUUAAUCGGAAUUACUGGGCGUAAAGCGCGCGUAGGUGGCUUGAUAAGCCGGUUGUGAAAGCCCCGGGCUCAACCUGGGAACGGCAUCCGGAACUGUCAAGCUAGAGUGCUGGAGAGGAAGGUAGAAUUCCCGGUGUAGCGGUGAAAUGCGUAGAGAUCGGGAGGAAUACCAGUGGCGAAGGCGGCCUUCUGGACUGACACUGACACCGAGGUGCGAAAGCGUGGGUAGCAAACAGGAUUAGAUACCCGUGUAGUC
rnacentral:rRNA from 1 species